UACAGGGGGGGCAAGCGUUGUUCGGAAUUACUGGGCGUAAAGGGCUCGUAGGUGGCCAACUAAGUCAGACGUGAAAUCCCUCAGCUUAACUGGGGAACUGCGUCUGAUACUGGAUGGCUUGAGUUUGGGAGAGGGAUGCGGAAUUCCAGGUGUAGCGGUGAAAUGCGUAGAUAUCUGGAGGAACACCGGUGGCGAAGGCGGCAUCCUGGACCAACACUGACACUGAAGAGCGAAAGCCAGGGGAGCAAACGGG
rnacentral:rRNA from 1 species